AUUGAACGCUGGCGGCAGGCUUAACACAUGCAAGUCGAGCGGGGUGAUGGUGCUUGCACUAUCACUUAGCGGCGGACGGGUGAGUAAUGCUUAGGAAUCUGCCUAUUAGUGGGGGACAACAUCUCGAAAGGGAUGCUAAUACCGCAUACGUCCUACGGGAGAAAGCAGGGGAUCACUUGUGACCUUGCGCUAAUAGAUGAGCCUAAGUCGGAUUAGCUAGUUGGUGGGGUAAAGGCCUACAAGGCGACGAUCUGUAGCGGGUCUGAGAGGAUGAUCCGCCACACUGGGACUGAGACACGGCCCAGACUCCUACGGGAGGCAGCAGUGGGGAAUAUUGGACAAUGGGGGGAACCCUGAUCCAGCCAUGCCGCGUGUGUGAAGAAGGCCUUAUGGUUGUAAAGCACUUUAAGCGAGGAGGAGGCUCUUUUGGUUAAUACCCAAGAUGAGUGGACGUUACUCGCAGAAUAAGCACCGGCUAACUCUGUGCCAGCGGCCGCGGUAA
rnacentral:rRNA from 1 species